GCCGUAAAGCGUUUUCUGCCAGCGUUGUCUUAUAAAUACUCUUCAGACUCCUUGAACGGUCUCAUUUCGUCAGUCUUCAGGAUCGUUUUGGUAAAGUAGAAUGCGCACAUGCUCUGUCGACGGUGCUGCUAAAUGCAGUAAUGAAGGAAAUGACAGGCCCCGCAUUUGGCUAUCUUGAGUUGAGCCAGAACUCUGCGCCAGAAGCUCUUCCAUGUGGGAAAAGCUUAAUAUGAAGAUUCAUUCAAGAUCAAGCUCGGCUUCAAGGAGCAACUGAGUUGCCCUGAAUACCCAAGAGUUCCUGAGCGUGUGGUCAUUCGCCGAGUCAUGUCUACCAAAUGGCCACAGGGUGGCUCAAGCCCUGAUGCACAGCGGCCCUUUGGCCUCUUGUAUCAUGUGCCAAGGGCUCUGAGAGGGUAAUGAAUUAAGUACACCAGGACUGGUCUUUUGAUGAUCCAGUACACCAGAACUUGGCUGAAUGAUACAUCUCCAGUGAAGGUUGUACAUCCCUGGCCAACAAAUGAUCAGAGUAAGGUGACCUGUUUCGGCCCUGCAUGCACCACCUAUCAAGUUAAGAGGUGUUUGAAGAAAUUAACAAGAUGAAUGCUUUCUCAAAGAUUCAAUUUAAAAUGCAUUUGAAGAUGUAGCUCAAUCUGACCUGUUGAGCUUAUGAAUUUUCAAUAAAAUGUUUGGUAAUUUGA